rnacentral:rRNA from 1 species
GACGAACGCUGGCGGCGCGCCUAAUACAUGCAAGUCGAACGGGCACACUUCGGUGUGCUAGUGGCGGACGGGUGAGUAACACGUGGGUGACCUGCCCUGUAGUGGGGAAUAACCCUGGGAACCAGGGCUAAUACCGCAUACGCUUAGCUAUUCAGUUGGCUAAGUAAAGAUUAAUCGCUACAGGAGGGGCCUGCGGCGGAUUAGCUAGUCGGUGGGGUAAUGGCCUACCGAGGCAACGAUCCGUAGCUGGUCUGAGAGGACGACCAGCCACACUGGGACUGAGACACGGCCCAGACUCCUACGGGAGGCAGCAGUAAGGAAUAUUCCACAAUGGACGCAAGUCUGAUGGAGCGACGCCGCGUGAGCGAAGAAGCCCUU